GCGGCUACUGCUAUCAGGUUUCGACUAAGCCAUGCGAGUCAAGGGGUCGUAAGACACCGGCGUACUGCUCAGUAACACGCGGACAAUCUACCCCCAGGUGGAGGAUAACCUCGGGAAACUGAGGCUAAUACCCCAUAGUUGUCAUGUGCUGGAAUGCUUUGACGAUGAAAGAAUUUCGCCUGAGGAUGAGUCUGCGGCCUAUCAGGUAGUAUGUGGUGUAAAGGACCACAUAGCCUAAGACGGGUACGGGCCUUGAAAGAGGGAGCCCGGAGAUGGACUCUGAGACACUAGUCCAGGCCCUACGGGGCGCAGCAGGCGCGAAAACUGUGCAAUGCGCGCAAGCGCGACACGGGAAGCCUGAGUGCCUUAGCUAUGUUAAGGCUUUUCUUGAUCCUAAAAAGCUCAAGGAAUAAGAGCUGGGUAAGACGGGUGCCAGCCGCCGCGGUAACACCCGCGGCUCGAGUGGUAGUCACUUUUAUUGAGCCUAAAGCGUUUGUAGCCGGAUUUGUAAAUCUCUAGGAAAAUACUUCUGCUUAACUGAAGAAAUUUUGGAGAGACUGCAAAUCUAGGGACCGGGUGAGGUUGAAUGUACUUCUGGGGUAGGGGUAAAAUCCUGUAAUCCUGGAAGGACGACCGGUGGCGAAGGCGUUCAACUAGAACGGAUCCGACGGUGAGGAACGAAGGCUAGGGGAGCAAACCGGAUUAGAUACCCGGGUAGUCCUAGCUGUAAACACUGCCCACUUGGUGUUGCAUCUCCGGUAAGGGGGUGCAGUGCCGUAGCGAAGGUGUUAAGUGGGCCGCUUGGGGAGUAUGGUCGCAAGGCUGAAACUUAA
rnacentral:rRNA from 1 species